GCGAAAACGGCGCCUUAAAGAACGCACGUAGACCGUCUGUUACUUAUGUCACCUUGGCGAAAAAGACGCCCGAGAGCAUUCAUCCGGCUCUGUGACUAAGUGUACUACUGGAGAUUUUCGUGAUCGGUAAUUGGUACGUCACCUUGGCGAAAAAGACGCCCGAGAGCAUUCAUCCGGCUCUGUGACUGAGUACCCGAAUGGAGAUUAUAAAGUAUGGUGUUGAUGUGACCGAGAGGUGGUCCGAAUGACAUGUAAUCGACUAGGUCGAUUGAUCAUUGUUUUGAUCUAAUGUUGUGAAUUGAUUGAUUGAAUGGGAAUGACCGUGAGUGGUCUUGUUGGCGUGUAAUCGACUAGGUUGAUUGAUCAUUGUUUUGAUCUAAUGUUGUGAAUUGAUUGAUUGAAUGGGAAUGACCGUGAGUGUUCUUGUUGGCGUGUAAUCGACUAGGUCGAUUGAUCAUUGUUUUGAUCUAAUGUUGUGAAUUGAUUGAUUGAAUGGGAAUGACCGUGAGUGGUCUUGUUGGCG
rnacentral:lncRNA from 1 species